rnacentral:rRNA from 1 species
AUUGAACGCUGGCGGCAGGCCUAACACAUGCAAGUCGAGCGGUAGAGCGAAGCUUGCUUCUCUUGAGAGCGGCGGACGGGUGAGUAAUGCCUAGGAAUCUGCCUGGUAGUGGGGGAUAACGUUCGGAAACGGAUGCUAAUACCGCAUACGUCCUACGGGAGAAAGCAGGGGACCUUCGGGCCUUGCGCUAUCAGAUGAGCCUAGGUCGGAUUAGCUAGUUGGUGGGGUAAUGGCUCACCAAGGCGACGAUCCGUAACUGGUCUGAGAGGAUGAUCAGUCACACUGGAACUGAGACACGGUCCAGACUCCUACGGGAGGCAGCAGUGGGGAAUAUUGGACAAUGGGCGAAAGCCUGAUCCAGCCAUGCCGCGUGUGUGAAGAAGGUCUUCGGAUUGUAAAGCACUUUAAGUUGGGAGGAAGGGCAGUAAAUUAAUACUUUGCUGUUUUGACGUUACCGACAGAAUAAGCACCGGCUAACUCUGUG